rnacentral:lncRNA from 1 species
CUUGAUACUAUUGAGUUUUUGGCCGUUUGAUGAAAGGAUGUGCGGUUAGGAUGAUAGUGGUCCCCGGUUAAAUUGAUAGUGAUCCCCUAGGGUUGAGUGGGUGGUUGGUUUAAUAGUAUAAUCUAACGGGUGGAAAUAAUCGAAGGGUAGAUCUAACGGUAGAAAACUCAAUAGUACCAAGGGUUUGAUACUAUCAAUAGUAUGAGUAUCCGAGACUUUAUACUUAUAUAAAUAUAAUAACUCUAGUCUAUAUUUAGGGUCCGGCUACUAUACUUUUAUUAGUACGAUCGCCUUCGUACUCAUAAGUUAUUUUCGAUGAUAGAGCUUUCUAAUCGACGAUCCAUACUGUUAAACAUUAUCUAUAGCAUUUAAAACUUAUAGAAAUCAAAUUUUAUAAUUUUUCAAUAUCAUUUACCUUACGAUUACAAGCUCACAAAAAUGACAAUUUUUAACAGCCAGUAUAAAAUAUUUGCUAGUUUAAUGGUGAAAAAGAAUCAGAAUUGGUUGAAUUUUUGAUAGAAAAUUAUAUUCAGUACUUAAAUAAAGAUCAAUAACUCCGAUCUUAAAUUGAAGGAUCCGAUCAUUCAUUUUUAGGAUGUUGUUCAAUUUUAACCAUUCAUUUUAUACCCAUUUGAUGAACUUUAUAAUGAUUUCGAAAAGUUACGAAAUUUAUUUUCUAAAAAUUUCAAAUACUCUGGAUCAUAUUUAACGGUGUGGAUCAUCGAUUCGAAAAGCCCAACAUCAAAAAUAACUUAUGAGUACGAAGAGCUCUAUACUCAAAAGAGUAUAGUAGCCCUACUAUAUAUAUAGAGAGAGAGAGUUGAGCUAGAAUACUCUCAAAAACACCAUUAAGGUGGUGCUUUUGGAAGUAUUCUAGCUCGACUCAUCCUAACCCUACAAUUUCUCAUCCAAGGAUUAAAAACUUGAUAGUAAAAAGAAACUUUUGCUAUCAAUAGUAUUCCAGCCUAUAUAUAUAUAUAUAUAUAUAUAUAUAUAUCGAGAGAGAGAGAGAGAGAGAGAGAGUAGGGCUACUAUACUCUUAUGAGUAUAGAGCCCUUCGUACUCAUAAGUUAUUUUCGAUGUUCAGGCUUCUGAAUCGACGAUCCACACCGUUAAACAUGAUCUAGAGUAUUUGAAACUUCUAAAAAAUAAAUUUCGUAACUUUUCAGUUACGGAAUCAUUAUAAAGUCCAUCAAGCAGAUAUAAAAUGAACGAUCAAAAUCGAACGACAUCAUAAAAAUAGAUGAUCGAAUCCUUCAAUUUAGGAUUGGGAUUCUUGAUCUUUAUCUAGGUAAUGAAUAGUAUUUUCUAUCAAAAAUUCAAGCUAUUUCGAUUUUUUACACCGUUAAACUAGCAAGUAUUACAUACCGGCCGUUAAAAAUUGUCAAUUUUGUGAGUUAUUGAUCGUAAGGUAAAUGAUAUCGAAAAAUUAUAAAAUUUAAUUUCUAGAAGUUUUAAAUGCUCUAGAAAAUAUUUAACGGUAUGGAUCGUUGAUUCGGAAGCUCUAUCAUCGAAAAAGACUUAUGAGUACGAAAGCGAUCGUACUCAUAAAAAUAUAACUAGACUGGAAUACUAUUAAUAGCCACAAUGACUUGGUACUAUUAAAUUUUCUGCUCUUGGAUUAAAAAAAUAUACGGCUAGAAUGAUGUGGGCCCCCUAGAGUUGAGUGGAUGAUUGGUUGAAUAGUAUAAUCUAACGGAUAAAAAUAAUCAAAGGAGUUAAUCUAACGAAAAAAAACUUGAUAGCACCAAGUGCUUGGUGCUAUCGAUAGCAUAGCAACCGUACUCUAUAUAUAUAUAUAUAUAUAUAUAUAUAUAUAUAUAUAUAUAUAUAUAUAUAUAUAUAUUAAAGAGCAAUAGAACCAAACAACGCCUCAACCAAAUGGCAAAAAAAGGACAUCCACUUACCAACCAGCCGAUGAUGUUAGGUUGAAAAGGCUGCUGAUCAACACUUUGCGCCACGAAAUACAUUUAAGCUUUGAAAAAAAAUCACUGAGGACUGAAAAUUGUUCGCUAUCAACUACAACCAGCACGUCAUUCAAUUCAACCUCACAAUGGAAGCCUCUUUUUCACCCGGAUCCAGAAUAUAGGAGAGUCAGCAGAGGCAUGACAAGCCAUGCACAAGAACACACACAGACGGAAAGGGAUAGAACCACAUUCGGUACGCUUGGAAGUACUAAUCAGGUAUCAGGUAUAUAUGAUUCCUGUUGAUGAGAUUACUUCGAUUUAUAACGAUGGUGUAACAUUUUCUUUUUUCCACUUAUCAGGACAUGAAAAUGGGAAGGCUAGCACUCUUCCUGGAUUUGCAGAUCGGACAGAGUUCCACUAAGCGCUCACAGUGCUCACACAAGCACAGAUGCCGGCACGGCAUCAAAAGCAUGCAAACUUCCUGACACUUGCACGACCUACACACCAGCUGCUGACUCAGCUUUCUCGGCUGACGAGGGAAAUCCUCGCCUCCGAUCAGCACAUUAGGGUUGUAAGAAGAGACCGCCGUAUUGUCUACUUCGCUCUCCCCACACCCUUCCUUGGCAUGAUCUCCGGCCCCCCCCUGCGCUAAGGCUUGGUUGAGGUUACUCUUCAGCAUAUUGAUGAUGGACUCAUUGUACCAUGCUCUGCAUUGCCAUGAUUGGGCCUCCAUCGACACUAGCUUGAUCCGUUCGACUAGCUCUUUGUUUUUCCUACUCAUAUUCUCCACCUCGAGCUCUUUCUCACGCAGUUUCCUUCCCACCCCUUUCUCGAUGGCGUUUAGGAAUGCAACUGUGUGCCUCUGGGUCAUCUCUCUCAUGCCUUUCAUCAUUUGUUCCUCCUCGCAAUUACCCAAAAAAAUAGAAAAAAGCUUCAAUUAACAUUGAAAAGCAUAGCUUCAAAAAAUGCAGACAGUCUGGACACAUGGUAUCUAGGUAAUAUCUAUGGAUGAAAACAAAACACUAGACCGAGUUUUAGUACUAAAGAGCCAGGAAAAAAGAGAAUCAAGAGAAAGAGUAAGAAAACAAAACACACUAAUUUACGUAACGUAGUUCGGCCAUUAGCCGGCAUCUACAGGCAAGGACAGAAAAUAUUUCAUUAUAAUCAAAGUUGAGUACCAGAAAGAAGCAUGUCUCCCAGAAAACCCUACCUCAAAAUGCACUCAAUGCUUUCCUCAUCCCAAACACUCACAAAGAAAAGGGGCACAUAUACAUAAGCAACCAAACCAGAUCAAGGCUUAGGAAAUAUCCCGGCCCUAACAAAAUGGGACCCUCAAGAAAAUUUUCCAUUCAUUUCAGCUCCCAAAAAUAUCAAGCCACAACAUAAAGUGGGCCGGGCCCAAAAAUUUGAGACACAUUUAACUAGUUCUAAUUUGACAAGAACAUGGGAUGCAAGACUACCACACAUGAAAAUCUUCCCUAUUAAACAAGACAGCUAUAAAUACCAAGUACGAAACAGCAAUAUGUUUUCUAGUGUAAAUAAUAUUUAUGACUUAAUCCAUAGAACUUAUCAUUUCUGUCAAGAAUGGUUGACCUAAUCAAACCAUGUUAAGCUCAUUCUGACAUGUGAAUAAGAUAUUGACCUUGAGCAACCCAUAGGAUAUCCACUGCAGUUUGUUCUGAUAAAAUGAUAUUGGUAAAAAUCUAGAACAUAGUUUGUGCCCAUAAACAAUAUUUAUGCUCAAAUGCUUUUCACUAAUAAAAGUACGAGCAUCCAGUUGCUUCACAAACAAGUAGGUUACUAGAGAGAUUCUUUUGCCAGCAGAUAAAUGCUAGUUUAGAAAAAUAAUCUGGCAAAUCUUUCUGCAAGAAAAGUAAAAUAUGCAUGUUGAAAUAUUCCCUAAAUGAGUCAUAAAACUAAUAUGUGCAUGUUCAACGAUUCCCUAAAUCACAUAAAGCAGUUAGAAUGCAUCAGUUCUUACAAAACGGAAUAUAUUUCCUCACAUACUACAUAAAUCACAUAAAAUGCGCAAUAUAUGGGCGUAAGGUAUCAAGUAUCAACUAGAACAAUUCAUCUCUCUACACAUGCAGCAAAAUUUGCCUGCAGCCCAAAUAUAUAAUGUUGUCGUAAAAAUGCGUACCUGAAUUUUAAUGUAAUUAUCAAACUCUUCAUUUUGCCGGUCAAUCUCAGCCCUCAGAUCAUCACUAAUGGACAUCAUGAUAGGAAGUGAAGUCAUGCUUCCACUAGCAGAUGUAAUAGAGGAGUUGUGUUCAUCAUCAUCAUAGGAGAGUCUUAACCCGGUUGACACAGCAUUUGGAUUGCGGAAACCCAUUGCUAUUCGAUCAGCCUCGUCCUGGCCAAAAUUGCCCAAGGAAAUCUGAAGCUUGUACUGCCUUUCCGUGUCAUCCAUCUCCCUCUUUAUUUGGUUUGGUUGGCUUAGACCAGAAAAAUUAUGAUGUCCGACAUUGUUAACAGGACCAACGUUACAUGUAGCAGGAACUGCAUUAAUAUCAAGAAGAAAGAAAAAAAAAAUCAGUCUAUAUGAGAACCAAAAGUUUCUUCUACUCAGUUAAUAUGGCUUUUCUAGUAAGUACUAAAGCAUGACCCACUUCCUUCUAUUUAAAAUGCAACAGACACCGUCUAAUUCAGACACUAUGCAUAAAAACUUGUCUCAAAAAAUACAUGUAUAAACAUUGCACAAGUGGCUUACAACUGUGAUUUGUAUACUGACUGGUUCCUUUUAGAAAAUUCUUGCUUCACAAGGCCCUAUUUUGUAUGAGGAUAAUGUUGAGAUAUAUAUAAUUCUAUAUGAGUCCGGCUACUAUGACUAUAUCAAUAGUAUUAAGCUCUUGAUACUAUCGAAUUUUCUGCCGUUAGAUCUAUCCUUUGAUCAUUUCCACCGUUAGAUUAUACUAUUCAACCAACCACCCCACUCAAGCCUGAUGGACCACUAUCAUCCUAACUGCACAUCCUUUCAUCCAAUGGCCGAAAACUCGAUAGUACUAAACGUGGUACUAUCGAUAGUAUAGUAGCAUAAUUCCAUUAUUAUUAUAUAUAUAUAUAUAUAACAGUUGGACUGGGCUACUAUUAGUAGCAAAAUCUCAUUGUUGCACUACAAUUUUUUAGCCUUUAGAUCAACUCUUUUCAUUAUUUCUAACCAUUGGAUUAAAUACUAUAACCCAGUGAGGACCACUCAACCCUAGGGGGACCACUCAACUCUAACGACUAAUAUCAUUUUGACCCUACAAUUUUCAUCCAAGGGUUAAAAACUUGAUAGCAAAAAGAGCGUUUUACUAUUAAUAGUAUUCAGCCUAAUCUAUAUAUACAUAUAUGAGUUCGGCUACUGGUAUACUAUCGGUAGCACAGAGGCUUCUGUGCUACCAAUUUGUUUUUCGAUGAUGCGCUUCCAAAUCGACGAUCGCUCCAUUAGACUUGAAUCUACACUAUUGAAAGUACUUGAAACUAAAUUUCAGAAUUUUCGACAUCAUUUGGCUAGUGAUCAAAAGGUCUCAAAAUUGACAAUUUUAAUGGUAGAUGUGAUGCAUUUGUAAAUUUAACGGUGUAAAACAAUUCAAAUCAAAUGAAAUUUGCAUAGAAAAUUCUUUUUACUAUUUAGAAUAAGAUCAGUACCUCUGAUCUUAAAUUCAAGUCUUCUAUCAUCAUUUUUUAUGAAAUUUUUAUUUUCGGCCGUUCAUUUUUAGACUACUCUUUUGAUAGAUAAAUGAUACCGAAAAGUUAUGAAAUUUAGUUUCCAAAUACUUUCAAUAGUGUAGAUCAAGUCUAACGGAGCCGAUCGUCAAUUUGGAAGCGGCAUCAUUGAAAACAACUUGGUAGCACAGAGGCAUCCGUGCUACCGAUAGUAUAGCAGCCUAGCUCUAUACAUAUAGGCUAGGGCUACUAUACUCUUAUAAGUAUAACCCUUUUUGUACUCAUAAAUUUUCGACCAUUGGACGAAGAGAUGUGCGGUUAGGAUGAUAGUGGUCUCCUAGGAUUGAGUGGGUGGUUGGUUGAAUAGUAUGAUCUAACGGAUGAAAAUGAUCAAAGAAGUAAAUCUAACGGCAAAAAACUUAUGAGUACAAAGGGCCCUAUACUCAUAAGAGUAUAGUAGCCGGGCUCUCUCUAUAUAUAUAUCUAUAUAUAUAUAUAGAAAAAGAGAGAGAGAGAAAGAGAGAGGUCCGACUUUUAUGCUUUUAGAAGCAUGGUGACCUCUAUGCCGUCAAGUCGUUUCCGAUGCUAAGAUAUCCGAAUCAAUGAUCGGCUUCAUUAGACUUGGAGUAUUUGAAAAAUAAAUUUCGCAGUGUCUUGAUAUCAUUUACCUAGUGAUCAAAGAGCCCAAAAUCAACAAUUUUAAUGGUCAUAGAAAGCCUUUAGUAAGUUUAACAAUGUAAAAAUAUCCAAAUCAUAUAAAAUUUUGAAAGAAAAUAUUUUAUAAUAUAUAAAAUAAGAUCAAUAUCGUCGAUCUAAAAUUUUAGUUGUUCGUUGAUUUUAAGCUCUUUCAAUCACUAGGUAAAUGAUAUCGAAAAAUGGCGAAAUUUAUUUUCUAGCUACUUCAAAUACUCUAGAUCAAGUAUAAGGGAACCGAUCAUCGAUUCAGAAGUCUCAAUAUCAAAAACGACUUAAUAACACGGAAACCACGUGCUUCUAAAAGCGCACAAGCAGGACUAUAUAUAUAUAUAUAUAUAUAUAUAUAUAUAUAUNUUACUACUAUCUUCUGAACUUAAAUUCUAGUCUCUAUGACUAGAAUAAGAUUUAUCAUUUUUUUUAAAAGAUACUUUUAAAGUAGACUAAACUUAACAAAAUGUGGCAAUUUAAAUGUUUACGUAGUGUAGAUGGUAAUUUUAACAGUUAAAACUCUGGAAAACUAGUGAUCGGUUUACUACAGCUUUUUAAGACUUUAAAUCAAAGGUUCAUGAAAGUAAUCACAUCUAGUUCAGAUUGCCUCGGCUAGCAGCUAAACCUUCGACGUAGUAGCUUUUGUUGAACCAUCGUGCCUUCGGAGACACGAUGGCUAUCAUAUUUUUAUGAGAUUUUUAUUUUCAGCCAUUCAUUUUUAGACUACUCUUUUGAUAGGUAAAUGAUACCGAAAAAUUACGAAAUUUAGUUUCCAAAUACUUUCAAUAGUGUAGAUCAAGUCUAACGGAGCCGAUCGUCGAUUUGGAAGCGGCAUCAUUGAAAACAACUCGGUAGCACGGAAGCAACCGUGCUACCGAUAGUAUAGCAGCCUAGCUCUCUAUAUAUAGGCUAGGGCUACUAUACUCUUAUGAGUAUAACCCUUUUGUACUCAUAAGUUUUCGACCAUUGGACGAAGAGAUGUGCGGUUAGGAUGAUAGUGGUCUCCUAGGAUUGAGUGGGUGGUUGGUUGAAUAGUAUGAUCUAACGGAUGAAAAUGAUCAAAGAAGUAAAUCUAACGGCAAAAAACUUAUGAGUACAAAGGGCCCUAUACUCAUAAGAGUAUAGUAGCCGGGCUCUCUCUAUAUAUAUAUCUAUAUAUAUAUAGAAAAAGAGAGAGAGAAAGAGAGAGGUCCGACUUUUAUGCUUUUAAAAGCAUGGUGACCUCUAUGCCGUCAAGUCGUUUCCAAUGCUAAGACAUCCGAAUCAAUGAUCGGCUUCAUUAGACUUGACUUGGAGUAUUUGAAAAAUAAAUUUCGCAGUGUCUUGAUAUCAUUUACCUAGUGAUUGAAGGGGCUCAAAAUCAAUAAUUUUAAUGGUCGUGGUGAGCCGUUUGCAAGUUUAACGGUGUAGAAAUAUCCAAAUCACGUAAAAUUUUGAAAGAAAAUAUUUUAUAAUAUAUAAAAUAAGAUCAAUAUUGUCGAUCUAAAAUUUUAGUUGUUCGUUGAUUUUGAGCUCUUUCAAUCACUAGGUAAAUGAUAUCGAAAAAUGGCGAAAUUUAUUUUCUAGCUACCUCAAAUACUCUAGAUCAAGUAUAAGGGAACCGAUCAUCGAUUCAGAAGUCUCAAUAUCAAAAACGACUUAAUAACACGGAAACCACUGUGCUUCUAAAAGCGCACAAGCAGGACUAUAUAUAUAUAUAUAUAUAUAUAUAUAUAUAUAAAAAUAUACAUACGUAUGCAUACAUUCAUACAUACAUACAUAUAUAUAUAGAACUAGGCUGGUAUAUCGGUUGCUACCAAGUUGUUUUCAAUGAUGCGGCUUCCAAAUAGACGAUCGGCUCCGUUAGACUUGAUCUACACUAUUAAAAAUAUUUGGAAACUAAAUUUCAUAAUUUUUCGACAUCAUUUGACCAGUGAUCAAAAGAUCCCAAGUUAACAAUUUUAAUGGUAGAUGCGAUGCGUUUGUGAAUUUAACGGUGUAAAACAAUCCAAAUCUGAUGAAAUUUUUAUAGAAAAUUAUUUUCACUAUUUAGAAUAAGAUCAUUACCUCUGAUCUUAAAUUCAAGUCUUUUAUUAUCAUUUUGUAUGAAAUUUUUAUUUUCAGCCGUUUAUUUUUAGACUACUCGUUUAAUAGGUAAAUGAUACCGAAAAAUUAUUAAAUUUUGUUUCCAAAUACUUUCAAUAUGAGGAACAAUCCCACGGUGGAAAGGAGCAAAUAGUAGCCCAACUCCAACUUGAAGAUAAUAGAAUGGCCGAUGCAGUGGUAUUCGAGAAGUCAUCGGCCUAACAAACUAGGUGAUGCGGUGGUAUUCGAGAAGUCAUCGGCCUAACAAACUAGGUUUGUUGGCAUUAAUAGAAGGACGGCCUGUAGGCCAAGUCAUGAUUGGUCAAUGUCAUGCCUACAUUUUUUAAAAAAUUAAGCAAGAGUGAAGACGAGCUUAAGCCUAUUGAUACAACCAUGACCGACCUCAUUGGAAACAAUCAACAGGCCAAAAAUAUACUCACUACCAAGCUUACAGUUGGGUCCAAAAUCCUCCGAAGAGUCUGAAUAGCUUUCUUUAUGGUGGAUGCAGAUAGCCAUUACAAUCUGUUGCUCGGGCAUGACUAGAUCCAUGCUAAUGAAUGCGUACCGUCUACCUUGCACGAAAAACUAUUUUAGUGGGUUGGAGAUCGUGUCAAGGAAAUCAUGGUCGAGGGAAGACGGCAGACGGUGGAUAUCAAUGUGGAAGGCGCCGGCCAUAUCAGCGAGGCUGAUACUGACCCGGACCAAAUUUCAUUUGUUUAGGUUCGGGUUACGGAAGAAGUACAACUGGUGCUCCUAAAGGAAGCAAAGGCAUUGGUGGCUACCGAAGAGCCCACCAAACUGGUUGAAAUGGAACGUCAAAAGCUAGGAGUCGAGGCUCUAGAUGAGCUUUGGCAUAACAAGCCGAUUGAAGAAGUUGGCUACUCCAUUGAAUCAGUCGAGUUGGCUAAUGAAAGAUCAUGCAUUAAAAUUUUAAUUUUAGAGGAUGAUUUAAAUAAAAAUGAUUCAGCUCAAGUAGCAAAGACUGUAACAAUGCCUAAUGAUAACAGCGCUAAGAUUCAUGAAGGGAUCAAGACAAUGCAUGGAAGAAUCGCCAAUCAAGGUCGACGAGAAAAGGCUGAAAACUCAAGAUCCACUAUUGGAAGUGAACCUAUGGUCGGACAACGACAAACGGCCAACAUUUAUUAGCGCUAAACUCUGGGCAUAACAACAGGAGGAGCUAACAAGGUUGCUGAAAAAAUACAAAAACUGCUUCGCCUGAAAUUACGAAGAAAUGUCAGAAUUGAGCCGAAAAAUUGUAGAACAUCGGCUCCCUAUAAAGGAGUAUAAGCCUUAUACACAGCCAGCUAGUAGGUUUGAGCCAAAUAUUGUAUUAAAAAUCAAAAAUGAAAUUGAAAAUCUUUUAAAAGUCGAAUUUAUUAGAGCGGCUAGUUACGUUGAUUUGGUGUCCAAUAUAGUCCCAGUACGAAAAAAGAAUGGCAAACCUAGAGUUUGCAUUGAUUUUAGAAAUCUAAAUCUGACUACACCCAAAGACAUAUAUCCGAUGCCCAUAGCUGACAUGCUAGUGGACUCGACAGCCGGAUAUAAAAUGUCCUUUAUGUUCGGUCAUGCCGGCUACAAUCAGAUUUUUAUUGUCGAAGAAGAUAUAGCGAAAAUGGCUUUUAGAUGCGCAGGGUCCAUUAGGACUUUCGAAUGGAUAGUAAUGCCUUACGGCUUGAAAAAUGCCGGAGCCACUUAUCAAAGGGCAAUAAAUUUCAUUUUUCAUAAUUUGAUCGGUAAAAUGCUAGAAAUUUACAUUAAUGAUAUCAUUGUAAAAUUUAAAUCACAAACCGAUCAAUGGACCGAUUUAGAGCUCGCUUUCAAGCGCAUGAGGAAAUACAAUUUAAAAUGAAUCCCUUGAAAUACGCAUUUGGAGUAAAAAAAAUUGCAGAGCCUACUAGGAAAGAUAAAUUAUUUACGGCGCUUCAUAUCAAAUUUAGCCGGCAAAAUAGGAGUAUUCAGUCCAUUACUUCGGCUUAAAGAUCAAGAGGAGUUUAUCUAGACAAGAGAGCAACAAGAAGUUUUUGAAAGUAUUAAAAAAUAUUUAGCGAAUCCUUCGGUGCUCAUUCUUUCUCAGUAAGGUCAGCUGAUGAAGUUGUAUAUAUCGGCUGCAGAAGAAAAUCAGGGAUGUCUAUUAGCUUAGGAAAACAUGUUAAAAGAAGAGCAGGCUAUCUAUUAUCUCAGCCGAACAUCUGUUGGAUGCCGAACAAUGUUAUUCGGCAAUAGAAAAAUUGUAUUUAGCAUUGUAUUAUGCUUGUACUAAAUUGAGAGAUUACAUUUUACCAGUAAAAGUGUCGGCUGUUUGUAAAACCGACCUGAUAAAAUAUAUAUUGUCUAAACCAAUGUUAAAAGAAAGAAUUGGACGAUGGAUGUUAACUUUGUCCGAAUUUUCUCUUAAUUAUGUCCCGGCAAAGGCGGUUAAGGGACAAGCAAUAGCUGAUUUCCUAACUAGCCACCCAUGCGUUGAGAUUGAAGAGCCGAUGCAAAACUUGGUCGGUUGCCGAUCUUGGACGCUCUAUUUUGACGAGUUCAGAAUAACCGAAUCAGCAUAAGGCGAAAUAAACAUACAAUCUCCUGAAGGUGACAGUUCCUAUUUUGCUUUCGAACUAGACUUCAGCCGCUCUAACAAUUAAACCGAAUAUGAGGCUUUAAUAAUCAGCCUCGAGAUUUUACAGGAGUUAGGGGCACGCUUUGUAAAAGUCAUCGGUGAUUCACAAUUAGUGAUAAAACAGGUGGUUGGAGAAUACCGAUGCAAAAGUUGAAAUUUGCAAAAUUAUUUGAAUAAAACAAUAGGAGUACUUAGCAUAUUCAGGGAAGUAUAGUUUGUACAUCUAUCAAAAGAAGAGAAUGAGCAAACUAAUGAUUUAGCUCAAUCGGCUUCAGGAAAUAGAGAGCCGAAAGGAAGCCAAGUUAAAAUAGGAAGAAGGUUGCUAAAUCGGUAUAUACACAAGAGCCGAUGAUGAUCGCUCCAGUAGAAGUACAGGAUGAUUGGAGAAAAUCUUUAGUGGAAUUUCUCAAUGAUCCAAAUAAACGGGUCAACUAUCACCUGCGAAAGAGAGUGCUCGGUUAUUGUUUGUUAAAUGGACAACUCGAUAAAAGAACAGCCGAAAAAGUGUUGCUAAGAUGUUUAGGACUUGAUGAAGCCUAAAUAACUAUAGGUGAAGCCCAUGAAGGCUUAUGUAGAACACACUUGGCCGAAAAAACAUUAAGGUGGAUCAUUCGGCAUUUACGAUAUUAUUGGCUGACCAUGCACGAAGAUUGCAUCAAAUAUGUUAGAGAAUGUCAAGAAUGUCAAUUUUAUAGAUCGAUACAAAGAGUUCCGACUUCCGAGAUGCAUGCAAUCAACAGGCCUUGGCUCUUUCAUUGUUGGGAUAUGGAUUUAAUUGGAGAAAUUCAACCGAACUCUCCGGCUGGACAUAUAUUCCUAAUAGUGAUCGUAAAUGUAUUUUACCAAGUGGGUGAAAGCAAAACCUAGAAAAUUAGCCACUGAGAAGGACAUUAUAGAAUGUGGAAGACUAUCAUUCAUCGUAUCGAAAUUCCUGAGACGAUCACAACUGACCAAGAAACGAUGUUCACAGAGGAACAGUUCUCAAGGUUCGUAGAGUCAAGACAAAUCAAGUUGCUCCAUUCGUCAUCCUAUUUAUGCGCAGGUAAAUGGACAUGUUGAAGCAAUGAACAAAAUUAUCAUAAACCUUAUGAAACGGCAUAUUGGAAAACAACCAAGAAAGUGAAACGAGAAGCUCUCUUAAGUAUUAUGGGCAUGUCAAACAAUUGUCAAAACAACGACAGGAGUUACACCAUUUCAACUGGUCUAUGGUCACGAGGCUGUAGUACUGACCGAAAUAAUAGUUGCCUCAUUAAGAGUCGACGGACAAAAGGAGUAGAUAGCAAGGAAAUAUGAAACUUUGAUGAAUAAAAAGUUAGACAAAAUAAAUGAGAUUCGGCUGUUGGCACUUGACCAUUUGCAAGCUUAUCAUAGCUAAAUAGCGCAUACAAUAAGAGAGUAGCGCAUACAAUAAGAGAGUAAAGGCUAAAUCCUUCUCAGUCGAAGAUUUAGUCUUAAAAUUAGUACUAUCGAUCGGCCGAAAAGGCCAAUGUAUGAAAAAUGGUCUCCAAAUUGAAAGGGGUCGUUCCAAGUAUACAAAGUUGCAAGAGGCAACGCAUAUAAAACUUUGAUGAAUGAAAAGUUGGACAAAAUAAACGACUCGACUACUGACGCUUGACCAUUUGCAAGCUUAUCAGAGCUGAGUAAGUAGUGCAUACAAUAAGAGAGUUAAAGCUAAAUCCUUCUUAGUCGGAGAUUUAGUCUUAAAAUUAGUACUACCGAUCGGCCGAAAUGGCCGAAUCCAAAUUGGAAGGGGUAGUUCUAAAUAUACAAAGUUACAAGAGGCAAAGCAUAUUUUCUAAGGACAUUGGGAGGAUCAGAAAAUGACAAGCCAAUUAAUGAAAAAUAUUUAAGAAAAUACUAUCCGUCUAUAUUGAAAAGUGAAUAAAAGAGUCAAAAUAAAACAUACAAAAGUAAAUGUCAAAAUAUAUUACAGCUAAAAUAAGAGUGAGAAGCCAAAGGAAAAAUCAAGAUAAUAAGUCUUUGAGCUAAUUCCUUUCGGUUCCCAAAUUAGACUAGGCAAGAUCGGUUGUUCGCUUCCUUCGCUUCAUCACGAGAUGUAGUUUGUAGAGUCGGGAGAGCUGACUAUGUAUCGCCAUCCUUUCGUCUUUCUUGGCCUGGAAUUGGGUCGGUAGGAAAGCACGCUCUUCAGAUGUUUGGGCCAACGCUUUUUCGGUUUCGGCAAGUUCUUUCUUAAGGUACGUAAUACGCUGCCGAAGGGCCGACUCCUAGUUUUUCAAAAUAUCAUCUCGCUUGUCAAAGUCGGUUAAUGGAGUUACUACCUCAAUAGCCUUCACCUUGAAAGAGCCAACUUGCAAGAAGUGUUCAUCCAAAGCAAUAUGCUCGACAGAGAGUGCUUGUUGCCAAACCAGAAAAGAAGAGAGAUGAGCAAAUAAGGUUUCUGCAAAACAUCUACCUGAAGGGGGCAGAUCAGGCUGAUCCAAGAGAUCGAGGAGCGCUCCAAGCCGAUCAAAUUGUACUAAGCUCCGAACUAAGGUAGGAAGACCGCUGCUGUAUAAUCUCAAACAUUCAACCAGUUUUUGUCGAGUGUCAAUGGAUAUACUAGUUGGUAGAUCUUCUUCACUGGAUUUAGGGCUCGAAGUAGCCUAUUCUUGGAGAGAGAUGGCCAGCACAUCCGCCGGUUUGGGCGCCGGCGCAACAGUCGAAGCGUAAGUCUUAAUUGGAGGUUCAACAGACGGAUUUGGAACAACCUCCUGCCUGAUCUUAAUUUUCUCUUCGACUUGUCUCUUUUCUUCUUCUUUCUUCCUUCUUUCUUCUUCCUUUUUCUCCCUUUCUAUUCUCAUUUCCUUUUUUCUCUCUUUUUUCUCUUCUAUUCUUUUCUUUUUUUCUUCUUGCUUUUCUUUUUUUCUUCUUUCUUUUCUUCCUUCCUUCUUUUUUCUAUUUUUCUUUAUUUCCUUCCUCUUCAAUCUUCUUUCCUUUGUUGGUUCGUCAUUUUCCUCUUCCUGCCUUUUGUCAAGACGAGCUUCCCGACGAGCCUGCCUCUCGACAUCAGAAAUUGCCUUCCCAAGCGCCGAGGUAAAACAAGCGUGUGAGAUUUUUUCUAGAAGAUGUCUCUUUCAGCUGCUUGACGAAGGGGAUAAUGGAGGUGACCCGACUGAAAAGCGAGAAAAAGAAAAAGGAUCGAUUAAGAUAGGCUGAGAAUUUACCUCGGCCGAUGAGAGAAUUUGAUUAGGAAGAAUCGACUGGCGUUGGUUCUUUUCUUAAAAAAUUCUAAAAUAUGUCGGGAAGUCGACCGGCUGACCCGAGGUUAAAGGUUCCGAGCAGUCGAGAGCUAAACAAUAUGUGUCAAAUGGGGAGCUGAAUUCAUAUUCAAGGGAGUUCGGCACAAAAAAAGGAAAUAAAUUUGCAAACAUAGUUGCAAAAACCACAAAACACAACAGCCAAAGCCGAUUACUACACCAUUUUCUGACGACAGUGGUUUGAUCAAUGAAUUGAUUCAAAAUUUUUCGACAUACAAAAGAAAGAAAAUAUGCACCUAAUGCUAGCUUCUUGCCGUUAGCUAGGGCAAUGGCGAUAGGAAUGAAAUCUCGGUUGAUCUUCUGUGAGCGAGUGUAGAAGAGGUUGUGGCAGAGCCAGUAGAGGAGAAAGGCAUUAUGCUCUUCUUGGUGACUGGAGUAGGGGCCUGACCUGCGAACCGUCGCAUGAACUUGGUAUAAGUAAAGUCUGCAUUCGAAUCCAAAUAGGCUUCAAAAUCUGUCACUCCAUCAGGAUUGUAGGCAAUUGAAAGAGUGAUGUCGUGAGGUCGGAGACCGACUAUCGCUGCCACGUGAAGGGCCCCGUCCUCAAAAAGGUGUUGGAGACUGAGAACCAGAAACAAAAGCUGCAGCGAGAAAAAGAUUAUCGGCUUGAGGAGGAACUUUCAAAAGUUGAAUGGCUUCGUAAAUUCCAACGUCGCGCCAGAUUUCGGCAUAAGAUUCCACAACUCGAUCCAACCAGGCCAGAUAAGCGUCUUAAACGCUAGAUCAAGUCCGGAGGCUUUUUCCUUAUGAUUUCAAGGUGGACCAAGAAAGAAGAUGGAUGACAUCAGCCAUCAAAGGAAGACCAUCAGCCGAGAAAGGAAAAUCGUCAGGUGCAGGGGUCUCCACAAAAGAAGGACCAAGCACAAAUCAAGAGGGAUCCGAUUCAACAUAUUGUCUGAGGAGGGUAUAGUCAAGAGAUGGAGAUGAAGAAAGCGAGGGAAUCAAAAUCGAAGCCAUUGAAAGAAAAGCUUAGAAGCUAAGGAAAAAGAAAGAGAAUGGAGAAAAAGAUGAAGAGGCGUGAAAAUAAAGUCUCAGUUUGAGAAAGAGAAAAAAAAAAAAGAAGAGGGAAAACGAAUAAGCGUGAGAAAAGCAAAGCCGCUAAAGGGGAUUUCAAAAAGAGGGCUUUAAUAAUGAGGUGAUGGCAACCAUAAGUGACCUAAUUAAUGCCUCAGAUGAGACAAAAGGAAUAUGAAAGAUCGUAGCCGUCAAAGGACGAAAGGAAAGGACGGCUAAGAAAAAUGGAUAGUGCAGAGCACUUUCAGAAUGAAAGAAUGCAAGUCGCUAAACUAGAUAAUGCCAGCCACCCAAACAAUCGUUCGGGAGCUGCAGGGGGGCUUUGUUAGUGCCAUAAAAAUUGUGCCACGUGAUGAACCGGGACGCACCGCGGGAAUGGUUCUCAAAGCCAAAUAUAAAGUGACAUGUGGUGCACCAAGAUUUGAGAACAAUGCACCCAAAAACCGAAAACCGGUUAGAGUUGAUGCAGUUAGAACCAACAAAAAGUAGCCCGUAGAAGAAGGGACAUGGCCGAUAGUGGGGAAUAACUGAAUAUAUAACAAACGGAACUAUAAAUAGUCAAAGACGCCUGACAUAUGGUCUUUUUCUCCUGAGAACAAGAAAAUCAAUUUAUUUUUGUGUAUUUUUUCUCAUUCUAGGAGUAGUCUACUUGUAAUCUCUCUUUCUCUUGCAUUUCUUGUUUUUCUAGUAGUUAAGUUAGUUUCCCUUAAAAUCAGACGCCUUAGUGGCAUCCACCUUUCUGUAAACAUUCUUUGGUAAUAUAUAUUAGCAUUAUUCGGCUCAUUUCAGUCGAACCGAACAUACAAUGUAGCAUUUGAGCUCGACUAGUCAGAUCCCUUGUAAGCUGAAUCGCUCGAACCAAUUGUGGGCACAAACUUCGAGGGUCACUAUCAGAAGCCGCUCCACUUUUGCACGCUUCCCAAAGGAGGACAUUUGACCAAGUCAACGGUCUAGGAGUUCGGCUCAUAACACAUAUGUAUACAUGUACAUAUGUAUGUAUACAUACAUAUAUAUGUAUACAUACGUAUGCAUACAUAUGUAUACGUGUAUGUGCAUAUAUUGAGAGUUCAUCUACAAUACUAUCAAAUAGUAAAUGAAUAGUGUUUGCUAUCAACUUUUUAUCCCUUGGAUCCAUAAUAGUGCCACCACCACAUAGCCAACCCUAUGCAUUCAAGGUAUAAAAGGUAGAUAGCAAACACUAUUCCUCUACUAUCAAUAGUAUUCUAGUCUCUCUAUGUGUGUGUGUGUGUGUGUGUGUAUGUAUAUAUAUGAUAUACAUACACACACACACACACACAUAUAUAUAUAUAUAUAGAGUUGAGCUAGAAUACUAUCGAUAGCAAACGGGCUACGUUGCCACCCAUUUGUUUUCGAUGAUAGAGCCUCCAAAUCGACGAUCGGCACCGUUGAACAUGAUCUAUACCAUUUGAAGUGUUUAGAAAUCAAAUUUCAUACAUUUUCGAUAUUGUUAUCUUAUCCAUCGAGUGGACACAAAAAUGAACGGCUGAAAAUGAAUAUUCCUUAAAAAAUGAUGAUAGGAGCCUUGUAAUCAAAAUCAAGAGUAUAGAUCUUGUUUUAAAUAGUUUAAUGAAUUUUCUAAUAAAAAUUCAAUUGAUUUGGAUAUCUUUACGCCGUUAAACGAGAAAACGACUCAUAUCGACCAUUAAAAUUACAAAUUUUGAAACCCUUUGAUCAUUAGGUAAAUGAUGUCGAAAAGAUUUGAAAUUUGAUUUCUAAACACUUAAUGUGGUAUAGAUCAUGUUCAACGAUGCCGAUCGUCGAUUUGGAGGCUCUAUCACCGAAAACAAAUGAGUGGCAACGAAGCUAUCGAUAGUAUUCUAGCUCAACUCCAUAUAUAUAUAUAGGCUAGGGCUACUAUACUCUUAUGAGUAUGAAGGAUGACUAUAGAGCCCUUCAUACUCAUAAGUUGUUUUCAAUGAUGGAGCUUCCGAAUUGACGAACUACUCUGUUAAAUAUGAUUUAGAGUAUUUGAAACUUCUAGAAAAUAAAUUUCAUAAUUUUUCGAAAUCAUAAUAAAGUUCAUCAAGCGGAUAUAAAAUGGACGGUCAAAAUCGAACGACAUCUUAAAAAUGUAUGAUCGGAUCCUUCAAUUUAAGAUCAGAGUUAUUGAUCUCUAUCUAUGUAGUGAAUAAAAUUUUCUAUCAAAAAUUCGACCAAUUUCGAUUCUUUUACACCGUUAAACUAGCAAAUUUCCUAUACCGGCCAUUAAAAAUUGUCAAUUUUGUGACCUUUUGAUCGUAAGGUAAAUGAUGUUGAAAAAUUAUAAAAUUUUAUCUCUAGACAUUUUAAAUGCUUUAGAUAACGUUUAACGGUGUGGAUCGUCGAUUGGGAAGCUCUAUCAUCAAAAACAACUUAUGAGUACGAGGGCGAUCGUACUCAUAAGAGUAUAGUAGCCGGAUU